UUUUGUAUAAUGGGUCAGCGACUUAUAUUCUGUAGCAAGGUUAACCGAAUAGGGGAGCCGAAGGGAAACCGAGUCUUAACUGGGCGUUAAGUUGCAGGGUAUAGACCCGAAACCCGGUGAUCUAGCCAUGGGCAGGUUGAAGGUUGGGUAACACUAACUGGAGGACCGAACCGACUAAUGUUGAAAAAUUAGCGGAUGACUUGUGGCUGGGGGUGAAAGGCCAAUCAAACCGGGAGAUAGCUGGUUCUCCCCGAAAGCUAUUUAGGUAGCGCCUCGUGAAUUCAUCUCCGGGGGUAGAGCACUGUUUCGGCAAGGGGGUCAUCCCGACUUACCAACCCGAUGCAAACUGCGAAUACCGGAGAAUGUUAUCACGGGAGACACACGGCGGGUGCUAACGUCCGUCGUGAAGAGGGAAACAACCCAGACCGCCAGCUAAGGUCCCAAAGUCAUGGUUAAGUGGGAAACGAUGUGGGAAGGCCCAGACAGCCAGGAUGUUGGCUUAGAAGCAGCCAUCAUUUAAAGAAAGCGUAAUAGCUCACUGGUCGAGUCGGCCUGCGCGGAAGAUGUAACGGGGCUAAACCAUGCACCGAAGCUGCGGCAGCGACGCUUAUGCGUUGUUGGGUAGGGGAGCGUUCUGUAAGCCUGUGAAGGUGUACUGUGAGGUAUGCUGGAGGUAUCAGAAGUGCGAAUGCUGACAUAAGUAACGAUAAAGCGGGUGAAAAGCCCGCUCGCCGGAAGACCAAGGGUUCCUGUCCAACGUUAAUCGGGGCAGGGUGAGUCGACCCCUAAGGCGAGGCCGAAAGGCGUAGUCGAUGGGAAACAGGUUAAUAUUCCUGUACUUGGUGUUACUGCGAAGGGGGGACGGAGAAGGCUAUGUUGGCCGGGCGACGGUUGUCCCGGUUUAAGCGUGUAGGCUGGUUUUCCAGGCAAAUCCGGAAAAUCAAGGCUGAGGCGUGAUGACGAGGCACUACGGUGCUGAAGCAACAAAUGCCCUGCUUCCAGGAAAAGCCUCUAAGCAUCAGGUAACAUCAAAUCGUACCCCAAACCGACACAGGUGGUCAGGUAGAGAAUACCAAGGCGCUUGAGAGAACUCGGGUGAAGGAACUAGGCAAAAUGGUGCCGUAACUUCGGGAGAAGGCACGCUGAUAUGUAGGUGAAGCGACUUGCUCGUGGAGCUGAAAUCAGUCGAAGAUACCAGCUGGCUGCAACUGUUUAUUAAAAACACAGCACUGUGCAAACACGAAAGUGGACGUAUACGGUGUGACGCCUGCCCGGUGCCGGAAGGUUAAUUGAUGGGGUUAGCGGUAACGCGAAGCUCUUGAUCGAAGCCCCGGUAAACGGCGGCCGUAACUAUAACGGUCCUAAGGUAGCGAAAUUCCUUGUCGGGUAAGUUCCGACCUGCACGAAUGGCGUAAUGAUGGCCAGGCUGUCUCCACCCGAGACUCAGUGAAAUUGAACUCGCUGUGAAGAUGCAGUGUACCCGCGGCAAGACGGAAAGACCCCGUGAACCUUUACUAUAGCUUGACACUGAACAUUGAGCCUUGAUGUGUAGGAUAGGUGGGAGGCUUUGAAGUGUGGACGCCAGUCUGCAUGGAGCCGACCUUGAAAUACCACCCUUUAAUGUUUGAUGUUCUAACGUUGGCCCCUGAUCGGGGUUGCGGACAGUGUCUGGUGGGUAGUUUGACUGGGGCGGUCUCCUCCUAAAGAGUAACGGAGGAGCACGAAGGUUGGCUAAUCCUGGUCGGACAUCAGGAGGUUAGUGCAAUGGCAUAAGCCAGCUUGACUGCGAGCGUGACGGCGCGAGCAGGUGCGAAAGCAGGUCAUAGUGAUCCGGUGGUUCUGAAUGGAAGGGCCAUCGCUCAACGGAUAAAAGGUACUCCGGGGAUAACAGGCUGAUACCGCCCAAGAGUUCAUAUCGACGGCGGUGUUUGGCACCUCGAUGUCGGCUCAUCACAUCCUGGGGCUGAAGUAGGUCCCAAGGGUAUGGCUGUUCGCCAUUUAAAGUGGUACGCGAGCUGGGUUUAGAACGUCGUGAGACAGUUCGGUCCCUAUCUGCCGUGGGCGCUGGAGAACUGAGGGGGGCUGCUCCUAGUACGAGAGGACCGGAGUGGACGCAUCACUGGUGUUCGGGUUGUCAUGCCAAUGGCACUGCCCGGUAGCUAAAUGCGGAAGAGAUAAGUGCUGAAAGCAUCUAAGCACGAAACUUGCCCCGAGAUGAGUUCUCCCUGAGACUUUAAGUCUCCUGAAGGAACGUUGAAGACGACGACGUUGAUAGGCCGGGUGUGUAAGCGCAGCGAUGCGUUGAGCUAACCGGUACUAAUGAACCGUGAGG
rnacentral:rRNA from 1 species